UACGAAGGGGGCUAGCGUUGUUCGGAAUUACUGGGCGUAAAGCGCGCGCAGGCGGCUAUCCAAGUCAGUGGUGAAAGCCCGGAGCUCAACUCCGGAACUGCCAUUGAAACUGUUUAGCUUGAGGAUGAGAGAGGUGAGUGGAAUUCCCAGUGUAGAGGUGAAAUUCGUAGAUAUUGGGAAGAACACCGGUGGCGAAGGCGGCUCGCUGGCUCAUUACUGACGCUCAGGCGCGAUAGCGUGGGGAUCAAACAGG
rnacentral:rRNA from 1 species